GCAGAGCUUGCAGUGAGCCGAGAUCGCUCCACGGCACUCCAGCUUGGGCAACAGAGCGAGACUCCAUCUUAAAAAAAAAAAAAAAAAGAAACAUCAGUGGAAGAGGAAGAAACUGCAGGGAUUCCAAUGUUGGAAGCAUUUUUAGCGUACAACAACAUCCAAGUGGAUUACUAUGAAUGCCUAGACCUCUAUGGCAAACAGUCUCUUCGUGGCCUGUGCUGAGGACUACAUCAGUCUCCUGCAAUUAUCAUCUACACUGAAAAACAAAGAGGACAGAGGCGAAGCUAGUGGCCCUCACCAUCCCCUGCAAGCUGAUUGCUUCUUACUGCAAGCACUUGAGCAUCUUCCUGAGAGCUUUCUUGGGCAAUGGGAACCAGGCUUGGCCCAAUCACAGGCAGGUGAAGUAUGAGGAAAUGGAGAAGGCAUUGUCCAAGGAGCAGUCUUCAACCUUCACCCCGCAAGUGAGACAACUCUGAAUAAGAUGUGUUCUACACUCUCUUCCAAAGGUCCCCAGUUGGAUGGAGCUCUAGCUGCUCAUGUGAUAAGCUGCCUAUUAAUACACAAAAGAUUGCCUUUCCUCCUUGCUCUGUCUUCCUGCUGCUCUCCUACUAAUGUUUCCUGGGAUUGCCUCCAAAUAAACCACUUGAACUCAC
rnacentral:lncRNA from 1 species